UGGCGGCGUGCCUAAUACAUGCAAGUCGAGCGAACAGACGAGGAGCUUGCUCCUCUGACGUUAGCGGCGGACGGGUGAGUAACACGUGGAUAACCUACCUAUAAGACUGGGAUAACUUCGGGAAACCGGAGCUAAUACCGGAUAAUAUAUUGAACCGCAUGGUUCAAUAGUGAAAGACGGUUUUGCUGUCACUUAUAGAUGGAUCCGCGCCGCAUUAGCUAGUUGGUAAGGUAACGGCUUACCAAGGCAACGAUGCGUAGCCGACCUGAGAGGGUGAUCGGCCACACUGGAACUGAGACACGGUCCAGACUCCUACGGGAGGCAGCAGUAGGGAAUCUUCCGCAAUGGGCGAAAGCCUGACGGAGCAACGCCGCGUGAGUGAUGAAGGUCUUCGGAUCGUAAAACUCUGUUAUUAGGGAAGAACAAAUGUGUAAGUAACUAUGCACGUCUUGACGGUACCUAAUCAGAAAGCCACGGCUAACUACGUGCCAGCAGCCGCGGUAAUACGUAGGUGGCAAGCGUUAUCCGGAAUUAUUGGGCGUAAAGCGCGCGUAGGCGGUUUUUUAAGUCUGAUGUGAAAGCCCACGGCUCAACCGUGGAGGGUCAUUGGAAACUGGAAAACUUGAGUGCAGAAGAGGAAAGUGGAAUUCCAUGUGUAGCGGUGAAAUGCGCAGAGAUAUGGAGGAACACCAGUGGCGAAGGC
rnacentral:rRNA from 1 species